CAACAGACAUUAGCUCAGGGCCGAUCUUUAAAAAAAAUAAAAAAUAAAUAAAAUAGUAUCCAUGAGGUGCUGCCUCAGAAUAAAAUGUUGUACAGCCCUUAUAAAGAUAAGGAUAUCAAUAACAGCCAUAAAUUAUUGAGGAUGAAAUUCCAGACUCUGCAAAACAAUUUACAUGUAAUUUCUCAUUUAGUCUUCAACAUGUAGAUAUCAUAUUUCUCCCCAUUUUUCAGAAACGGGAAACUUUUCUCAGAGGAAGAGCUACUGGUUCAACUUUAGAGAUUUGGGCAUCCUCACAUACACCACCUCACUUAAUUUUUACAACCUGAGGAGAAGGAAAUGCCCAGAGAAGAGGAAAGGAUAGGAGAGUGGAGAUCUGUACCACUUUUCAUUUGAUAACUCAUAUCCCUUCGGCAAGUUUAAGGAGGAGUGGCUUAUUUAACUGGUGAAUUUUGGAGAAGAAGUGGAGAAUGCUUACUUUCAGUCCUUCCUAAAAUUACUACUGGCACUACCUACAUGUUGGCCUGCUCUCUGGUAUGUGAUGAGCUUGGCACUGCAAAUUCUUCUGUGUAGAAGGCUUGGAGAUUUUUAGUUUAGUUUAUAACUGAUUAGAUUAACAGUUAAGAUUGCUGGGUUAUGCUGGGUAAGAAACGCCAUCCACAUUUCAGUGGACUGAAAAAAAGGUUUAAUUCCUGCUCAUGUUGCACAACAGUGGUGGGCAGAAGCUCAGCCUGAUGGGGAUGUAAUCUCAGCAAUUUCCCCCUAUGAUUGCCAAGGCAGAAAAAUGAAAUGUGUCAAAUCACAUAAUGGCUCAUAAAACCUCCACCUUUCAUUGACACAUGGCACUCCCAUUCACACUUCACUGGCCAAAGCAAGUCACUUGGCAUGCCUGAUUCCAAAGUGGGCAAAAAAAAAUGCAAUCCUCCCUUGUACCUAGAUAAAGAAACUACUACACAUGUUUGGUGAAUAGCACAAUGACUUCCAUGGUGGAUCAAGGUAAAGUCUACAAUUCAAAGGUUUUAGUAUAUUCAGAGUUAUGCAACCUCACCACAAUCAAUUUUAGAACAUUUUCAUCACCCCCAAA